rnacentral:lncRNA from 1 species
ACAAGCAACAAGCAAAUGUACUAAAAAACAAUCCUUUACUUUUUUUUAUAACGUCAAAACCAUCCUUUACUUCAUUAACACAAAAGUUCCAUUAAAAUUAAUAAAAAUAAAUAGAGAACGACCGAAGUCGGAGUAAUCUCCUCUCGAGAGUCGGUUUCUUCAUUAUCCAUCUCCGGCCCCAACAACAUCUUCUCUGUCACAGCCGACAUCCGUUUCGUCACGUCUUCCCCAAGUCGCCGUCAUCCCUUUGAUUCAAGAAAGC